UGUGACUCAAACACGUGGAAAGGAGUGGUUCUUCUGAGGAAAACCAGCUGAAGUAUUACAGAAAGAGGAAAUGCUGCAGAGACCCAGCCGGAAACAGUGCUGGCCAGCUCACGCCUGACCCACCCUUAUUCUAAGCAUAGGGUCUGCCUCUGAAGAGCUAAAGACUUCCUGAAAUUUAAAAAUUAGUGCUUUUAUUUGCUUGUCCUGCUAAGACCGUAGGCAAAGGCCAUCCUCCUCCCAUUGACAGUUUAGAGUGGGCAGAAACAACCACGGUUACCCUAGAAGUAAAUCCAGAGCUGCGGGACGCUGGAGGACAAAACCAACCUUCCAGGGAAGCCGAGGAGAAGUCAUGCCUUCAAAAGGGGCUGGGAAGUUCAAGAUCCAGGCCUCAGAAGAUUUGGGGUUUGGUGAGGGCCAUCUUCUCACUGUAGCCUUACAUGGUGGAAGAGGUAAGGCAGCUCUCUGGAACCUCUUUUAUAAGGGCACUAAUCCCUUUCAUGAGAACUCAGCCCUUAUGAACUCAUCGCCUCCUAAAUUCUCUACCUCCUAACACCAUCACUUUGACAAUCAGAUUUCAACAUAUGAAUUUGUGGGAGUCACCAGCAUUGAGACUAUAGCAACCCCUUAUUAGAAAUAAUUCAUGAGGAACUGAAACUGUUAGGAAACCACUGUGUAAAUGCUGGGAAACAAAGUCAGAUAAAUAAUGCUGAUAAUUACCUGACUGCUUUUGGAACUGUCCUUUUUUGUGAACAUGAGACUACAUCAUUGUCAGUUGAUUGCAGAAGAACCACUAUGAUAUUAUAAUGGGGUCCUGACUCCAUGACUGUGUAAUUCAUGGCUUUCUAACGGUUUAUUAUUGACCUAACUUUGCAGCUCCCCUAGAUCCCCUAACUCCACCAUCUUGGGUUGCAACCAAUGACCUGUUAUUGCAAAACAGGUAAUCUCACUUAGAUAAGUAUUAAUCAGAGGGGCUUGACUUCCAGAGUUCAUUUCAAUGGUUUUCAACUCAUUUGUAGAGUUUAACAUCAGUAGCCCUUUCUCUUCCAUAGGAGGGAGAUGAACCAUCCUGUUUGUUCAAUAAUCAGUGAGAGCGUGGCUUUAACGUCUCUUCCACUCCUUUCUAGUUCAGGUCUUUCUUAACUUGAUGGAGAUAGCUUGGGCCAGGGAGGGCAGAGUGAAGAUGAGAUGGCAAAAAAAAAAAAGUUUUGAUCAGCAGCAUUGACUCUGUGCUAAAUACUGUGCUCAGCUCUUUGGAUGUUAUUUCAUUGAAAUGGAAAGAACACUGUAAAGUUGUCUUGUGAGGCACACUUUCCUGUUGAGGAAAUAAAAGCAUUAAAUAACUUGCCCCCAAAUACAAAGCUAUUAGGAUUGAAACAAAGACUUGAGCCCGGGAUCUAUCUAAUUUCAAGGUCCUUGUUUUUUUUCUACUACAUUUCUCUUUGAGAUACAGUUACUCAAAGGUGUCCAAACUUCAGUUAAUGUCAACCUCUGCCUCACUCUGGUCCUGGUGCCUUUCCCAUGUUCCUGAGAAGAUCAUGUGGCACACUUCUCUAAACGUCUCUGUGCCAUAUCUCUUGGGAUCAAAAGGCCAUUCCAAUAAUUCUUCUGCAUUUCUUAAUGUAUGCUCAGAUGGCCCUGGUUUGCAUUUAGAGAAAGGAAGCUAAGACCUUGGUGAUAACUAAAUAUUUAUAUCUAUUUUUUGAUUAUGUGCUUGUAUUUAAUUAAGUGGGUGCCUACUGUUGUGAAAAUACUUUUGAAUACAAUUCUGAAGUUGUGCCAGGGAACUCUGACAAUGGGUAUGCUGGGAGCUGUCUGAUUUCCUUGUCCUAGACAACUCAUACAAUGCAGUAGAAAAAGAAUUCUUUAUUCCCACUGCCUUUCCUUAGCCCUUCUUCAGAGCAGGGGAAGUGUGACUGUAGCUUUAAAUAGUUUAAAUAGUCCUUCAAAUACGGCAAAUAAAACAGUAUCAAUGAAAAAGAAGAUAAAA
rnacentral:lncRNA from 1 species